rnacentral:rRNA from 1 species
GUAAGGAAUAUUGCACAAUGGGGGAAACCCUGAUGCAGCAACGCCGCGUGGGCGAUGAAGGUCUUCGGAUCGUAAAGCCCUUUUCUGCGGGAAGAGGCAGGACGGUACCGCAGGAAUAAGUCUCGGCUAACUACGUGCCAGCAGCCGCGGUAAAACGUAGGAGGCUAGCGUUAUCCGGAUUUACUGGGCGUAAAGCGCGUGCAGGCGGUCAGUUAAGUCAGGCGUGAAAUCUCUCGGCUUAACCGGGAGGGGUCGUUUGAUACUGGCUGACUUGAGUGCAGGAGAGGGAAGCAGAAUUCCCGGUGUAGCGGUAAUAUGCGCAGAUAUCGGGAGGAAUACCAGUGGCGAAGGCGGCUUCCUGGCCUGUAACUGACGCUAAGACGCGAAAGCUAGGGGAGCGAACGGGAUUAGAUACCCUUGUAGUCC